AGGAGGCGGGGAGAAGCCUCUCAUGACGUCAUGACGCCGCGGUCAGGACGUAGAAGCCAAAGAAGACAAGAGCCUGCCGGGUAGCUGAGCGUUUUCGCGGCCGUAACGCUACCACCUUGGGUCGCUGCUGAGGAGUCCUGGAAACGGACAGACCUGACAGUGAAAAAGCAGUCUGGCUCCCCAGAUCCACCCCAAGGUCCAGAUGGCUGCCAAUGUGGGUGACCAGCGUAACACAGAUUGGUCUUCGCAGUACAGCAUGGUGGCUGGGGCUGGCAGAGAGAAUGGCAUGGAGACCCCCAUGCAUGAAAACCCUGAGUGGGAGAAAGCCCGCCAGGCCCUGGCCAGCAUCAGCAAAGCAGGAGCUGCUGGCAGCUCAAAGGCCAGCAGCAAUGGGCCUGUGGCCAGUGCACAAUAUGUGUCUCAGGCAGAAGCCUCAGCUCUGCAGCAGCAGCAGUACUACCAGUGGUACCAGCAGUACAACUAUGCCUAUCCCUAUAGCUACUACUAUCCCAUGAGCAUGUACCAGAGCUAUGGCUCCCCCUCCCAGUAUGGGAUGGCUGGCUCCUAUGGCUCAGCCACCGCCCAGCAGCCUUCAGCACCCCAGCACCAAGGGACUCUGAACCAGCCCCCGGUCCCCGGCAUGGAUGACAGCAUGGCCUACCAGGCCUCUCCACAGCAGCUGCCCGCGGCCCAGCCCCCACAGCCGUCAAACCCCCCCCAUGGGGCCCAUGCUCUGAGCAGUGGCCCCCAGCCUGGGACAGCGCCCACCACGCAGCACAGCCAGGCGGGCCCCCCUGCAGGCCAGGCUUAUGGCCCACAUGCCUACCCCGAGCCUGCCAAGCCCAAGAAGGGCCAGCAGCUGUGGAACCGCAUGAAGCCAGCCCCUGGGACCGGGGGUCUCAAGUUCAACAUUCAGAAGCGGCCCUUUGCUGUCACCAACCAGAGCUUUGGCUCCAGCGCAGAGGGCCAGCACAGCAGCUUUGGCCCCCAGCCCAGCCUGGAGAAAGCCCAGAACCACAGUGGGCCUUCCCCCCGGGGGAACCUGUCUGGGAAGCCUGACGAUUGGCCACAGGACAUGAAGGAGUACGUGGAGCGCUGCUUCACAGCCUGUGAGUCAGAGGAAGAUAAGGACCGGACGGAGAAGCUGCUCAAGGAGGUGCUGCAGGCUCGGCUGCAGGAUGGCUCGGCCUACACCAUCGACUGGAGCCGCGAGCCUCUGCCAGGAGAACCUUGGGGUUGCUCCCUCUCCUGCACUGCAGCAGCCGAACCGCUGGGGCUGACCAGGGAGCCUGUGGCUGAGAGCCCCAAGAAGAAGCGGUGGGAGGCCCCUAGCAGCCUUCACCCUCCCAGGGGGGCAGGCUCAGUGACCAGGGGCGGGGGUGCCCAGUCCCAGCGAGGGACACCAGGGGCUGGGGGUGCUGGCCGAGCCCGGGGCAGCAGCUUCGCCAAGUUCGGCAACCGAAAUGUCUUCAUGAAGGACAACAGCUCUUCCUCCAGCACGGACUCCCGCUCCCGCUCCUCCUCCAGAUCCCCCACACGCCACUUCCGGAGAAGUGACUCCCACUCGGACUCCGAUAGCUCCUACUCGGGGAACGAGUGUCACCCUGUGGCCCGCAGGAACCCGCCCCCCAAGGGCCGGGGUGGUCGAGGGGCCCACAUGGACCGGGGCCGAGGCAGGGCACAGCGAGGGAAGAGGCACGAUCUGGCUCCUACCAAGCGCAGCCGCAAGAAGAUGGCAGCGCUGGAGUGUGAGGACCCGGAGCGUGAGCUGAAGAAGCAGAAGCGAGCGGCCCGCUUCCAGCACGGGCAUUCCCGCCGCCUGCGCCUUGAGCCCCUGGUGCUGCAGAUGAGCAAUCUGGACAGUGGUGGAGCUGACCCUGACUGGCAGGAGCUGCAGAUCGUGGGCACCUGUCCAGACAUCACCAAGCAUUACCUGCGUCUCACCUGUGCCCCUGACCCUUCCACUGUGCGCCCCGUGGCAGUUCUGAAGAAGUCUCUGUGCAUGGUCAAAUCCCACUGGAAGGAGAAGCAGGACUAUGCCUUCGCCUGCGAGCAGAUGAAGUCCAUCCGGCAGGACCUGACGGUGCAAGGUGUCCGCACGGAGUUCACCGUGGAGGUGUAUGAGACCCACGCCCGCAUCGCCUUGGAGAAGGGUGACCACGAAGAGUUCAACCAGUGCCAGACACAGCUCAAGUCUCUGUACGCAGAGAACUUGCCAGGCAAUGUGGGCGAGUUUACUGCCUACCGGAUCCUCUACUACAUGUUCACCAAGAACUCAGGAGACAUCACCACGGAGCUGGCGUACCUCACACGGGAGCUGAAGGCAGACCCUUGUGUGGCCCAUGCACUGGCACUGCGGGCAGCCUGGGCCCUGGGCAACUACCACCGCUUCUUCCGCCUCUACUGCCACGCGCCCUGCAUGUCUGGCUACCUCGUGGACAAGUUUGCAGACCGGGAGCGCAAGGCUGCCCUCAAGGCAAUGAUCAAAACGUAUGUGGCACUUUGCUGUGGCCCUGCCACGCUUCUCACCCUCUCUGUGCUCCUGGAGGUCUUGGGCCUUCUGCCCGUGCUGGAGUCUCCUUCCACCCUCCAUACUCCCUCACUCUCCUCAGUUCCUCCUCCCCUGCUCUGAUCUCUCCCCCCUUACUCAUUGCUCCUGUCCCUUCCCCUCUGCCUCUCUUCCUCCUGUUCAUGUCAGCCUGGAUCUGGCGGAGCAGGGCUUGGGGCACCCUGCAGGCCUCUGCCUGCCUGGUGCAGCUCCUCAGUGCUCCCAUACUAGAGACAAACUAGGAAGGAGGGGCCCUGCCCUUGUGGCUCUGGUCCCAAGACCAGGCCCAGUUCCCAUUCAGCUCCGUUGGGAGUGGCAGAAAUGCCGAGGGACUGUGUGACAGGGACCAGCCAGGCCCUCAAUGACUGAGUGCAUCCUUUACCCACGCCCCCUGGCUGUGGUGGCCCCUCAUCAUUUGUGGGGUGGAAAUGCCUGCGGGGGACCACAGCGUCAGGAGAAGGGUUUGCCUUUUGGGCUGAGGGAUGCUGCAGGAACCCAGCCCCCGGGGCAGCCCGCAGCAGCCUUCUGGCCCCAAGCCUUAGUUAUUGUGGUGUUGGUCAGGCUGAGAAGUCCUGGCGCAGGGGGUUCCCUGGGCCCCAGGAACCUCUGUCAAAGGGGGUUAGGGAGCCCUGGGGUGGUUGGUGGCUAAGGAGGGGCCACGCGCCCGAAGGUUAAGGAGCUGGGCUGUAGUUCCUGUCAGACAGGGAGAGGCCGGGCCGGGCUGGGCCGGGCUGGGGCCGGGGCAGGGGCAGGGGCAGAAGAGCACGGGGACACAGUGACCCCUGGCUGGGGAGGGAGGAGACAGGCCUCACAGCUGCUGCCUGUGACGUGCAGCCCUCAGGCACCUGGCUGGGCAGCAGUCAUUUCUCCGCCCCUUUAUGUAUGCCUGGCCGUGGGCCGUGGCACAGCUGUGAAUGGCCAUCGCUGACCUCACUUCCUCAGCUCUCCUCCCUGUGAGGUUGGCAUGGCCUGUGACAGACAAGACCCCCUUAGAUCCCAGAGCCCUGUGGGUGCAGGCGUGGGAAGCUGCCCCGGUAGCAGAAAAGAGGCACCAGGGUCCUGCGACAUGUGGCCACUCAGUGCUGUUCCAAGGAGAGGUGCCCCUUCACAGCCUGUAGCGAGGGUCCCCGGUCAGCAGGACGCUGUUCAGACAGCUGUUGGCUGCGCACUCCCUAACGGCGCUGCUCACACCUGUGCCCUGGGGCACUUUGACCCCAGGCAGGCCGCUGGCCCUGGCCUUCUCUGCCCACGCUGCUCCCUCGGGGUGGUCUGGCUCCAGCCCCUCCACUCCUGUUCCCUCUCCUUUCUGGACAGCUUCCGCCCAGCGCUGCCCGUCUCCUACCUGCAGGCCGAGCUGGCCUUCGAGGGCGAGGCUGCCUGCCGGGCCUUCCUAGAGCCCCUGGGCCUGGCCUACACGGGCCCCGACAGCUCCAGCAUCGACUGCCGCCUCAGCCUGGCGCAGCUGCCAGCCUUCUGAGCACCCAGCGAGCCCGGGGGGCCGGGGACUGCAGUCCCCAGCGCCGCCUUGCAGAUUUUUUGAGCCAUGGACUUGGGUUGUAAAUUAAAUUUGGGGGAGUGGGCUCCAGGAAGAGCCAGUCCCUGCCCCGUUUCCCACCGGGGAGUCUGUACAGAGAUUUUUCUACAUUUUUAUUUUUUGCCUCAGAGGGGUGCGUGGGUGGAGGCGGGCGGCAGAGGGUGGGGUCUGCAGGCCGUGUCCACCGGUACCUCCACUAAUGCUGUCUCAGUGUUUUCUCUCUCUCUCUCUCGAGCUUGUACUGCGGCACCGACCCGGCGCGCUGGCCCGUCCGCUGCGGGGCCGGCGGACAGAAGAGGGGCGUGCAGCCCACGCCCGCCGCCCCGGGUGCCCGCCCGCCGUCCAGCCCGCGCCCGUCGCCCGGCCUCUUCACAGACUCUUGUUGCGCAGCCCUCCGGGGCCUCAGUUUGGGGUGAGGGGAGCUGCGUAGAGACUGUGCCGCGCCCUCGGCCCCCCACCCCGGAAGCGCUAAUGCCGCCGCCGCCAGACGAGCGCUGCCAUGCCACCCUGAGGAUGCCGGAGGCCAGCGCGGGACGCAGCCGGGCCACGCCGCUCAAGUUGUACUAAGUUGUCUCCGUGUCCCCUCCUCCCCGCCCCAAUGUUUCUUCCGGUUUCCCCUUCCCUCCCGCCUCCGCUCCCCAGCCCUCCCUGGUUCAGCACAGGUAAAACGGUCACCUUUCCUCCCUCCCCGCCUCAUGGAUCACCAGCUCACGUCAUGUUUCCUUCUCUUUUCUUUGUGUGUGUGUUUAUUUAAGUUAUUUCUCCUUCCUCCCCCUUUCUUUUCGGUCCUUCCUCCCUCUUCUGCCAUGUAACUGGAGGAUGUGCUGAGUUCGCCAACCGCUGGACUGUCAGGCUUCCUUUCCAGGCGUCCCUCCUCUGCCUCCCUCCCUCCCCUCCCGCCUUCCUUCAUUCUUUCCUUGGAGCUCUGACACCAUUUGGAAGCUUGCGAGAAGCCAAAAUUAAAGAGAGAGAGAGCGCG